AACUCGGCUGCAUGAAGCUGGAAUCGCUAGUAAUCGCGGAUCAGAAUGCCGCGGUGAAUACGUUCCCGGGUCUUGUACACACCGCCCGUCACACCAUGGGAGUUGGAAAUGCCCGAAGUCAGUGGCCCAACCGUAAAGGAGGGAGCUGCCGAAGGCAGGUUCGAUGACUGGGGUGAAGUCGUAACAAGGUAUC
rnacentral:rRNA from 1 species